GACGAACGCUGGCGGCGUGCUUAACACAUGCAAGUCGAACGGUAAGGCCCUUCGGGGUACACGAGUGGCGAACGGGUGAGUAACACGUGGGUGAUCUGCCCUGCACUUCGGGAUAAGCCUGGGAAACUGGGUCUAAUACCGGAUAGGACCACUGCCUGCAUGGGUGGUGGUGGAAAGCUUUUGCGGUGUGGGAUGGGCCCGCGGCCGAUCAGCUUGUUGGUGGGGCGAUGGCCUACCAAGGCGACGACGGGUAGCCGGCCUGAGAGGGUGACCGGCGACACUGGGACUGGGAUCCGGCCCAGACUCCUACGGGAGGCAGCAGUGGGGAAUAAUGCGCAAUGGGCGCAAGCCUGAUGCAGCGACGCCGCGUGAGGGAUGACGGCCUUCGGGUUGUAAACCUCUUUCAGCACCGACGAAGCGCAAGUGACGGUAGGUGCAGAAGAAGGACCGGCCAACUACGUGCCAGCCGCCGCAGUAACAC
rnacentral:rRNA from 1 species